CACAGUGUACUUUUUCUCAGCGGCACAAACAUUUUCCGUGACCCGUUCCAGACGGGACCCCUUCUCUCCUCCCUGCCCAUCACCACAUCAGCAGGUCAAGGGCCUCCAAACAAUGAAGGUGAAAAAAAAGACUACGGAGGUGGCUUUUCAUUAUUCUACGCUUGGGAAGAUACUGAGGUUUCACUAUGUUCCAUCCCGGGAGGUAGUAACAGAGUGAAAAGAUUGCUGUGUGGAUUGGCAAUGUGGAAAGGCAUAACAGAGGCACAAGAAUGGGUCCACACUGAGCCUCCACCUGCUGAAACCUGGCUAGUGUUGCUCUCGCUGAGGCCUCCUCCAUCAGCUGCGGUCACAGCAGCGAUGAGGAAACUGGGGCCAACAUUUGGAGCCAUUUAUUACCUUUGAAAGGAUCCUGCAGUGGACAUCCACGCCUCUCAGAAAGUCCCUUACUCAGAAAGUUGACAGGAUUUUCUACUUGUUUCUGAUUCAUCACUGAGUUCUGUGUUUGGUCCACUUAAACAUGCAGCUUGUAGAUCACCUAUUUCACUUUCAGUAUGCGAUCCCUUGGCAGGAAGUUGGCUGUUCAAAAUAACAUCUGACAAAUCCAAAUUCCAAACGGACAUCAACUUGGCUUAUAUGAUUAGAAUUAACAACACACAAAAAAAACAAAAAAGAAAGAAAUAAAUCACAUAUGUUCAUGGCAUAAAGUUUGAGACUUCCUCUGAUUACUGUAUUACUGCUAUUUACUGUACAGUGAGCGGAAGUAACAGAGUCAAAUUCCCUGUCUUGGCCAAUAAACCUGAUUCUGAUGAGUUUUGCUUGUAUUUUUAAAAGGAAGGGUUAUAUUAUUCAAACCCUGUAAAUCCUAAACUUUUUCCACCAAAUUGGAUGCAAUCACA